rnacentral:rRNA from 1 species
ACGCUCGACACCUACGGGGAGGCAGCAGUGAGGAAUAUUGGUCAAUGGGGCGCUAGCCUGAACCAGCCAAGUAGCGUGAAGGAUGAAGGCUCUAUGGGUCGUAAACUUCUUUUAUAUAAGAAUAAAGUGCAGUAUGUAUACUGUUUGUAUGUAUUAUAUGAAUAAGGAUCGGCUAACUCCGUACCAGCAGCCGCGGUAAUCUGAGCGGCUGGCAAGGC